AACGAACGCUGGCGGCAUGCCUAACACAUGCAAGUCGAACGAGAACUUCGGGUCUAGUGGCGCACGGGUGCGUAACGCGUGGGAACCUGCCCUUAGGUUCGGAAUAACUCCCCGAAAGGGGUGCUAAUACCGGAUAAUGUCUUCGGACCAAAGAUUUAUCGCCUUUGGAUGGGCCCGCGUUGGAUUAGCUAGUUGGUAGGGUAAAAGCCUACCAAGGCGACGAUCCAUAGCUGGUCUGAGAGGAUGAUCAGCCACACUGGGACUGAGACACGGCCCAGACUCCUACGGGAGGCAGCAGUGGGGAAUAUUGGACAAUGGGCGAAAGCCUGAUCCAGCAAUGCCGCGUGAGUGAUGAAGUCCUUAGGGUUGUAAAGCUCUUUUACCCGGGAUGAUAAUGACAGUACCGGGAGAAUAAGCUCCGGCUAACUCCGUG
rnacentral:rRNA from 1 species